GGGCACAUGGUGUAGUUGGUUAUCACGCCCGCUUAGCAUUCCUGGAUCAACUCGAAUCCUGCGAUAUGCACUACUGCGGGCGGUGCCCGGUUCAAUUCCGGGUGUGUCCA